AAAACAGAAAGGUGUCAAAAAAUUGUUUUCACAAACAUUCUUUCUGAAUUCAUAAGCAAUCCUAGAAGUCAUUUUUUUUAAAGUAUUUUUGUCAUUGUUUUUAAGAAUUUGUAAUCUCUCUUAAAAUAUUUUGGCUGGUAACGUAACGGAUUACAGUUGCAUUUUUUAAAUGGAUUACAUGUCAUCUGUUACUCCCCAGCCCUGGUAUCUAUGCUCACACUGCCAAUCAAAUAUGCUCCUGUCCAGAUAGAAAGUAAAGGCGAUGCCCUGAGUGAAGCGAGGAGUUUGGAUCAGGAUGGAGAUGUUUACUGUCCUUGGAAAAGUCUCAGAUCUGUUGCAUGGGGUACUUCUGGGGAAGAGACAGAAGGAGAAGAGAGAGAUGGAGGAAGAGAGAGAUGAGAGGGAGGUAGAGGACAAAAGAGACAUUUGGGAAGAGAGAGGCUGUGUUUGGUCACUCAGUAUUCAGUCUGGAGUUCCGUGCAUCCAAAUAAAACACGGAUACAAGCCAGGAGUCUUCUCUGACUUUUUCGAGAUGUCCCUGUCCCAAGCUGUAGUCCCCACUUGCUUUAAGGAGACCACCAUCAUCCCAGUUCCCAACAAAACCAAGAUCCACGGAAGAGGCCAUUUCGAUCGCUAUUCACAUGACCCUAACCCAUCUGGACAAGAGGAACAACUAUGUGAGAAUGCUGUUCAUUGACUACAGUUCAGCAUUCAACAAUAUUGUUCCCUGCAAGCUUGACACCAAGCUCAGAGCCCUGGGUCUGGAC
rnacentral:lncRNA from 1 species